rnacentral:rRNA from 1 species
CACGGGUGAGUAACACGUAUCCAACCUGCCUCAUACUCGGGGAUAGCCUUUCGAAAGAAAGAUUAAUAUCCGAUAGCAUAUAUUUCCCGCAUGGGUUUUAUAUUAAAGAAAUUCGGUAUGAGAUGGGGAUGCGUUCCAUUAGUUUGUUGGCGGGGUAACGGCCCACCAAGACUACGAUGGAUAGGGGUUCUGAGAGGAAGGUCCCCCACAUUGGAACUGAGACACGGUCCAAACUCCUACGGGAGGCAGCAGUGAGGAAUAUUGGUCAAUGGACGCGAGUCUGAACCAGCCAAGUAGCGUGAAGGAUGACUGCCCUAUGGGUUGUAAACUUCUUUUAUAUGGGAAUAAAGUGGUCCACGUGUGGAUUUUUGUAUGUACCAUAUGAAUAAGGAUCGGCUAACUCCGUGCCAGCAGCCGCGGUAAUACGGAGGAUCCGAGCGUUAUCCGGAUUUAUUGGGUUUAAAGGGAGCGUAGGCGGAUUGUUAAGUCAGUUGUGAAAGUUUGC